AAUUUAAAAAUUUAAAAAUUCAAAUUCAAAUAUAAUAAGUGGAUAAUAUCAUUAUUUUUUAUUUACAAAACCCAUUAUCUUUUUUAUUCCAUCUUACCUAACCAAACGCUAUUUUUUUUAUUCCAGGAAUAACCCAAUUUUCAUCCAAACGCAAAAUUGAUCUAAUCCUCGCUUAUACCUUAAUUUAUACCUAUCCCUGGAAUAGCCAUUUUUUUUUUAUCCCUGAACCAAACGAUAUCCCAAUCCCCAGUAAAUGGGAGAUGGC
rnacentral:lncRNA from 1 species